GACGAACGCUGGCGGCGUGCUUAACACAUGCAAGUCGAACGAUGAAGCUGGAGCUUGCUCCGGUGGAUUAGUGGCGAACGGGUGAGUAACACGUGAGAAAUCUGCCCUUGACUCUGGGAUAACUGCGGGAAACUGUGGCUAAUACCGGAUAUUUUCCUUGGUGGGCAUCCACUGGGGAAGAAAGAAUUUCGGUCAAGGAUGAUCUCGCGGCCUAUCAGCUAGUUGGUGAGGUAAUGGCUCACCAAGGCGACGACGGGUAGCCGGCCUGAGAGGGUGACCGGCCACACUGGGACUGAGACACGGCCCAGACUCCUACGGGAGGCAGCAGUGGGGAAUAUUGCACAAUGGGCGCAAGCCUGAUGCAGCAACGCCGCGUGAGGGAUGAAGGCCUUCGGGUUGUAAACCUCUUUUAGCAGGGAAGAAGCGAAAGUGACGGUACCUGCAGAAAAAGCACCGGCUAACUACGUGCCAGCAGCCGCUGUAA
rnacentral:rRNA from 1 species